UACAGAGGGUGCGAGCGUUGUCCGGAAUUACUGGGCGUAAAGCGUGCGCAGGCGGCUAUGCAAGACAGAUGUGAAAUCCCCGGGCUCAACCUGGGAACUGCAUUUGUGACUGCAUGGCUAGAGUACGGCAGAGGGGGAUGGAAUUCCGCGUGUAGCAGUGAAAUGCGUAGAUAUGCGGAGGAACACCGAUGGCGAAGGCAAUCCCCUGGGCCUGUACUGACGCUCAUGCACGAAAGCGUGGGGAGCAAACAGG
rnacentral:rRNA from 1 species